rnacentral:rRNA from 1 species
AUGCACGCUGGCGGCGUGCCUAAUACAUGCAAGUCGCGCGAACAGACGAGGAGCUUGCUCCUCUGACGUUAGCGGCGGACGGGUGAGUAACACGUGGAUAACCUACCUAUAAGACUGGGAUAACUUCGGGAAACCGGAGCUAAUACCGGAUAAUAUAUUGAACCGCAUGGUUCCAUAGUGAAAGACGGUUUUGCUGUCACUUAUAGAUGGAUCCGCGCCGCAUUAGCUAGUUGGUAAGGUAACGGCUUACCAAGGCAACGAUGCGUAGCCGACCUGAGAGGGUGAUCGGCCACACUGGAACUGAGACACGGUCCAGACUCCUACGGGAGGCAGCAGUAGGGAAUCUUCCGCAAUGGGCGAAAGCUUGACGGAGCAACGCCGCGUGAGUGAUGAAGGUCUUCGGAUCGUAAAACUCUGUUAUUAGGGAAGAACAAAUGUGUAAGUAACUAUGCACGUCUUGACGGUACCUAAUCAGAAAGCCACGGCUAACUACGUG